rnacentral:rRNA from 1 species
UACGGAGGGUGCAAGCGUUAAUCGGAAUUACUGGGCGUAAAGGGUGCGUAGGUGGUUUGAUAAGUUAACUGUGAAAGCCCUGGGCUUAACCUGGGAAGGCCAGUUAAGACUGUUAGACUAGAGUAUGGGAGAGGGUAGUGGAAUUUCCGGUGUAGCGGUGAAAUGCGUAGAUAUCGGAAGGAACACCGGUGGCGAAGGCGGCUACCUGGCCUAAUACUGACACUGAAGUACGAAAGCGUGGGGAGCAAAC